rnacentral:rRNA from 1 species
UACAGAGGUCUCAAGCGUUGUUCGGAUUCAUUGGGCGUAAAGGGUGCGUAGGUGGCGUGGCAAGUCUGAUGUGAAAUCCCGGGGCUCAACCCCGGAACUGCAUUGGAUACUGCCAUGCUUGAGCACUGGAGAGGAGACUGGUAUUUACGGUGUAGCAGUGAAAUGCGUAGAUAUCGUAAGGAAGACCAGUGGCGAAGGCGAGUCUCUGGACAGUUGCCGACACUGAGGCACGAAGGCUAGGGGAGCAAACGGG